rfam:Schistosoma haematobium scaffold2016_3, whole genome shotgun sequence.
GUUCACCCGAAGAGUUCAAAAUAGGACGAAACGCGCUUCCUGAAU